rnacentral:rRNA from 1 species
CUUACCAGGUCUUGACAUCCCGAUGCUAUUUCUAGAGAUAGAAAGUUACUUCGGUACAUCGGUGACAGGUGGUGCAUGGUUGUCGUCAGCUCGUGUCGUGAGAUGUUGGGUUAAGUCCCGCAACGAGCGCAACCCCUAUUGUUAGUUGCCAUCAUUCAGUUGGGCACUCUAGCGAGACUGCCGGUAAUAAACCGGAGGAAGGUGAGUGGACUCAAUCAAUCAUGCCCCUAUGACCUAUGGGCUACAGACCUGCUACGAUGGUCGUACGUCGCGGCCGAGUCGUCGGAGGUCAAGGGCNCAACGCGGGAAUAGGNGGAUG